CCUACGGUGGGCAGCAGUGGGGAAUAUUGGACAAUGGGCGAAAGCCUGAUCCAGCCAUGCCGCGUGUGUGAAGAAGGCCUUCGGGUUUUAAAGCACUUUCAGUGGGGAAGAAAGCCUUGGGGCUAAUACCCUCGAGGAAGGACAUCACCCACAGAAGAAGCACCGGCUAACUCCGUGCCAGCAGCCGCGGUAAUACGGAGGGUGCGAGCGUUAAUCGGAAUUACUGGGCGUAAAGCGCGCGUAGGCGGUCUGAUAAGCCGGUUGUGAAAGCCCCGGGCUCAACCUGGGAACGGCAUCCGGAACUGUCAGGCUAGAGUGCAGGAGAGGAAGGUAGAAUUCCCGGUGUAGCGGUGAAAUGCGUAGAGAUCGGGAGGAAUACCAGUGGCGAAGGCGGCCUUCUGGACUGACACUGACGCUGAGGUGCGAAAGCGUGGGUAGCAAACAGGAUUAGAUACCCGAGUAGUC
rnacentral:rRNA from 1 species